rnacentral:lncRNA from 1 species
CACCGCGCUGACCUCGCUGGAGCAGACUCGCGCCUACCUCCUGGCCGACGGGACCUGCAAGUGCGGCCUCGAGUGUCCGCUCAACAUGCACAAGGUACGGGGACCCUCCCCGGGCGGGGGGGAGACGGACGCCCCCUGCUUUCGGGGGGGUCCCUGCGGAGGAGCCGGCAGCCGUUCUCAGCCUGCGCCGUCCCCGCAGGUGUUUAACUUCGACCCGGGGGCGGCGGUGGCCGGGCGAGGGGCCCCCGGGGCCCAGGGCCAGCAGGACAUGACCAAACUCUGCAACCACCGCCGGAAAACGGUGGCCAUGGCCACGCUGUACCGCAGCAUGGAGGGCGCCCCGGGCCCCGGCUCCCGCCGCCCCGGCACAGGUAACCGGCCCCGGGUCCCCUGUCCCUGCCACCGCCCGGGUCCCUCCUGGUGUCCCCAACCUGUCCUGGUUGUCCCUGUCCAUCUGGGCUCCCCCCACCCAUCCCAAUCCCUCCCAGUUUCCCUGCGGCGCACCCCAGGUGUCCCAGAGCUCUCCCAUCCUCCCCAUUCCAUCCUCGCUCCCCGGUUCCCCCCAGUUGGUGCCCACUGACCCCUGCGUGGUUCCCUGCAGGUCCCGGCUUGAGCCCGCUGUUCCCGGCAGGGGGGCGCCCGGCCGUGCCCCCCGGCGUCCCCCCGCCCAGCGCCGUCGGCAGCUUCCCCAGAGCCCCCACGAGGGCAAAGACCCCCGAGGCCGCCCCCGCGGGGGACCGGCUUGUCCCCCCACCCUUCCCGCGGCCCCGUGACGUCUUCCCGGGGGCCAACGGCAGUCCCGAGAGCCGCCCGCCGCCACCGUCCCCCCGCUUCGGCCGCCGCCUGCCCCCGCCGGACGCGGCGGCGGCCCCCAGGCCUCCCGCCGAGGACGCCCGGAGCCACCGUCCCGUGGGCAGGACUAGCGCCCGUGCCGCUCCGUCGCCGGUGGGGGCCGGAGAAAGCCCGGAGCCCGGGGGGCCGGGGCUGGGGCCGUGCCCGGCGGCUGCCAACGGCACCCCCCAGGCGGGCAAGGACGAUUCCCCCAUCAGCGGUGCCUUAACCAACCAAAGCAGCAAUAACCUGCCAGUGCCCUUAGACGCUGCCCCCGAGGGCCGGGGCUUUUUGGGGCUGCCGCUGGGCCAGCUCCUGGCGCCGCCGGCGGGCACCCCCUUCCCGGCGAGCAGCCUGCUGAGYGCCGCCGCCAAGGCCCAGCUGGGCGGCCCCGACCCCGCGCCCCCCCCUAGCACUUUACCCCCCCGCCCGCUCGCCCCCGACGUGCUGCUCUCGGUCGCGGGCGAGCGGAGCCUGGGCAAGGCGGCCCGGCGGCCCCGGCGCCUGCACCCCGAGGACCCGGCGGCCCGCAGGGCGCCCCCCGCCCCGGGCGCCAAGCCCAAGGGGCUGCCGGCACCCGGGCAGCCCCUCGCGGCCCUGUUGAGCCUGCUGGGUGCUCAGGGCGGCCCCGGGGGGCACGGCGGCCCCCCAGCCCCCCCGCCUGCCGGGGACGGCGGCGCGCCCUGCCCGGGCACUGGGCUCCUGCCUGCAUGCCAGGACUUCAACAGCCAGCUCCUCGGCCUCUUCGGGCAGCUGGCGGCCUCGUCUGAAGCCACCUCAGGGACCCCCCCGCAGCCAAAACACAGCGCCCCAGGUGCCGCGACGUCUCCAGCCAUCACCAAAGGCCCCCCGGCCUUGGGGGCCAGCAGCGGCGGGGAGGAGGCCGCCGGAGGAGCGCUGGGCUGCCCGCUGCCCCCCGCUGCCGCCGCCGAGCCCGUGGCCUUUGUGGGGCAGGAGCAGGCGCUGGCCCUGGGCAGCUCGCUGCCGCCAGGGCUCCUCCUGGGCACCCUGCCCUUCUCGGUGGCCCUGGGCCAGCACCCGCCGGCGCCCGGCGGGGCCCCUGAGGGGCCGAGCCUGCCCUCCCUGCUGGCGGCCUCCCUGCUGCCGGGGCAGCCCCCGGUGCCCUUGCUGCCCCUCGGCAUCCCCCUGCCCGCCCUGGACCUGCUGCCGGCGCCGGGGACGCUGCUCUCGGCCCUGCUGCCACUGGCACCGGCGGGCGAGAAGGGCGCCGAGGCGGCAGCGGCGGCGGCCGCCGGCCCCGAGGGCUACCCGGCGCUGCCCGACGCGCCGCUGCUCUUCUCCGCGCUGCCCGCCUCGCUCGCCCUCGACCCCGCGCUGCUGGCCGCUGGGCUGGGCCCCCCCGAGAGCACCCCCGGCACCCCCCCGGUGAGACUCGGCCCCUGGGACGGGGUUGUUUGCCCCCCCCCCUCCCCGGGGAGGAGGGUAGUAGGGAGGGAUUUGCCCCCUAGGGAGGAGGGGGAUGGUGGCUGGGGGUAUUUACCCCCAGCAAAACACACGGGGGGGAGUGUGUUUGCCCCUGGAGAAGAAGGGGGGAUAUUUGCCCCCAGGGCAGUGGAAGGGGGAGUAUUUGCCCCAGGGAGAAAGGCAAGGGAGGGUAUUUCCCCCCCCCCUCCCCCCCAGGGCACGGAAAUGGGUAUUUGCCCCUGAGAAGAGAGAGGUGAAAGGUGUUUGCCCCCAGGGCAUGGCAGAGGAGGAGUAUUUGCCCCUGGGGAGGAAGGUUGGGGGUAUUUACUUGCCCCUGGGUCCUGGAAAGCAGGGUAUUUGCCCCAGGGAGGGGGGUCCGGGAGGGUGUUUGCCCCCCCCUCCUGGGAGAGGAGGAGGCCGGGCUGGUUUUGCCCCCGGCGGGGACGGGCUGAGGGUGUCUCUGCCCCCAACUCGCCCCCUUUGCCUGCAGUCCGGCCUCGCCAGCCCCCCCGCGGCACCUACCUCGACCGGCGCCCCCCCCACGACUACUGAGGCCCCGCGCGGGG